AUUGAACUAUGACUUGUACUUAUUAGUAUUUGGUCCAAAUCGGAAUAUAUUUCGAUAUAACAGAUAUGGGACAUGAUGAGCAAAACGAGAUUCAUGAGGGUUGAGAAUUGAAUGUCUUUCGUUAUAUAUUGAAUGGUAAAAGACUUCUACUAGUUGAAAGUCGUUCCUUUUGGGUUAAUGCAUUGUUCUCUUCGACGAAGUAAUGCUUUUGGGUUGCUACUAUAAGACGCAUCUUUAUGUCUAGGAGUUCAGCGCUUGUUAUUGUUAGCGAAGGAUUUCUAAGUGUAGAUCUCGUAGAAACUGUGUUACGCCAAAAUCUAAUUGCAUAAGACAAGACCCUAUAAGCUCUAUCCAAAGACGAAAAACGAGUCAAAGGGGCAUCGAAUGUUGUUGUAGCGAAUACUUUAACUUGUUUUGCUCCAAUGGUUUCCUGGCAACUUAAGCCACUGGGGUCCCGUCCACCAUAAAUGAUGAAAAAUUAAGUCGUCAGGAGAACAGCCACGACUUGCUACAUCUGCGGGGUUGAAUUCUGAGUCAAUAUGUUUCCAAUUCUCAAUACCGACAUUCUUUAUAAUUUCUGAAACUCUAUUACCGACGAAGGUGCUCCAGAAAUGGGUCGUGAAAUCUGAUAAUUGUAUGGGGCACAAUGGCCUUUGUUAACUUAGACAACAUAACCGCGCCGCAUAAUUCUAACCUAGUCAGAGAAAUUUUCUUGACUGGGGCUACUCGAGUCUUGGCUGCUAGCAGAAAAGUGUCUACAGUUUUAUCUAUGUGUUCUACGCGUAUGUAAAUUGUGGCAGCGUAUGCGCUUUCUGACGCGUCACAGAAUCCAUGUAUUUCCACAAUGCUAGAAGGUGUAAACUUAGCCCAUCUGGGUAAAGAUACAUUAUCUAUUGAGUGACUAUUUUUCAUAAAGUUGUUCCAAUCCAUCUG
rnacentral:sRNA from 1 species